rnacentral:lncRNA from 1 species
AUGCAGGGAGACUGUGUGCUGCUGCUGUUUUGGGGUCUCAGGAUACAUCUGUCCUUUGGUGCCUUUUCAGAUGAGAAGUGGAGGAGGAAAACUCAGCCUUCUGGAAUCAAAAGGUGAAGAAGGCCCUGUAUGUUGCCAAAAAGCUGCAGCCCAUUCAGACAUCAGCCAAGAACCUCAUCAUCUUCCUGGAAGAUGGGAUGGGGGUGCUCACGGUGACAGCCAUCCCUAAAUACUAAAGGGACAGCUGCAACAGCAUUUGGGGCCUGAGACACCCCUAACUAUGGACUACUUCCUAUACAUGGCUCUGUCCAAGACAUACAACAUGGACUGACAGGUUCCAGACAGCCCAGGCACAGCCACUGCCUAUCUCUGAGGGAUCAAGGCCACCUACAAGACCAUUGGUCUGAGCGCAUAUGCUCAAUUCAACCAGUGUAAUAUCACAUUUGGCAAUGAAGUCUUCUCAGUGAUAUACCAUGCAAAGAAAGGAAGUCUGGAGGAGUGGUAACGGUGACCAGGGUGCAGCACCAGCAUGCCUCUCCAGCUAGCACCUGGAACUGACUGAGGCUGUCAUGUUCAACUCUGCCAGCUUACCAAUGAGGACAUGCUAACACUCACCACUGUUGACCAUUCCCACGCCUUCGCAUUUGGUGGCUACAUAUAUAGGGGGAUCUCUGGCUUUGGUAAGCCAAGGGGCAGUGUCAGGUGAUGUUGCUUCAGAUCUAUAGGGACAGAGAUUGCUGGACCUCACUUUCCUCACCAUCAUCCCAGCCAUGGAACCUCUGAUGAAUCUGUGGGCUUGGAACUUGAUCACAAGAAGUCUGCUGAGUGUGAUACCUGUGGCUGGACCCUGCUAGCAUCUACCUGUCAUCCCAGUACUACAGAGAUGGAGACAGAAGAUCAGGAACUCCACAGUAACCCCAGCUCAAGAGGAACUUGAAGUCAGCGUGUGUUUCAGGAUACCCUGAUCUU